GGCUACACUUUGAUUCUUUCAGAGCUCUCUGAACAGUGUUUUUAGGGUUUCAGUAUCUUAUUUUUAAAUUAUUUUUGUCCUAUAUAUUGUUCUAUAUAUUUUGUCUCCCUAUGCUUAUUUUCCCACCUGUGUUGUGACAACAAGCACGUACAAAACCAAUCAACAUACAGGUUUGGUGGUGAUGGGAUAUCAGAGGAACACUCAGAUGUAUAGAAACGACUGCCAGCGAGAGCAGAAAUGUAAAAAAUAAAUACCCUGUGCUCCCUAUGUGGAAAUGGCCUCAGACUCAGACUGUGGUCAGAGAGAGGCAAAGGUGAUGUGACCAGUCUACAGCCAUGAAAUGAAACAACAAGACAACAUUCCGUGGCAGGCCAGAUACUGGAGGGUGCACAUA